UUUGGGAAGAAAGUAGUAGCGUUUUGUGGCUGACUGAAAGGAGAGGUUAAAGGUGUGAUGUGUCACAUAAAGCUCAAGUAAUUUCCACUUGUGGUGUGUACUUGCUUGGCGAUUUUUUUGAAAGGAAUAUUUGUUAUUUUAACCAAACGAUUAUGAAAUUAUGAAUGUUUCGUCGCCCACAUCAGACCGUUCCUUCGCUGUUUGCCGCCAACAGAUUGACAGUUGUCACUUGUGUUUGGGUUAGUUUUUUAAAACCGCUAAUUUCGUAAUCGAGUGCUAUCAGGCGCAUGUUCCUA
rnacentral:misc_RNA from 1 species